GGGUGCGAUCAUACUAGCACUAAUGUAUUAGAUCCCAUCAGAACUCUGCAAUCAAGCGUGUUUCGGCGAGAGUAGUACGAGGAUGGGUGACCUCCUGGAAGUCUUUGUGUUGCACCCU
rnacentral:rRNA from 1 species